CGCGCGCAGCCCCGGUUCCGGCCCGCGCCUCUCCCUCCACACCUCCCCACAAGCUGAGGGAGCCGGCUGCGGCCUUCGCCAGCCCAGAAAGGGGCUCCUACAGUGCAGUGGCGGGCUGAAGGGCUGCUCAAGCGCCGCCAAAGUGGGAGCCCAGGCAGAGGAGGCGCCCAGAGCGAGCGAGGGCUGUGAGGACUGCCAGCACGCUGUCACCUCUCACUCAUAUAGAUUGCCAAUCUAUUUGUGAACCAGGUUUGCUGGAGUUUGGAUUUACUACUGAGUCAUAUUUGGAGCAUGCUGGAAUCUUACAACUGAGAUUACCGAGUCAGAAACUCAUACUGAGUGGAAGGAUAUUUGUGCCUAUCAUGUGACACAGCAGAAAAUCUUCCAGACAAAAGAUUAGAACGCUUAAUUAAAUAAAACGCAAAGAGCACAAAGAAAGUGUAUGAAAGCGAUUUGGAAGUCAUCUAUCAAAAGGACACAGCUCAAGAUAUCCCAGGGAUGGUGUUUAGAUGGUAUUCCAUAUUAAAUCAUAUUUUUAUCUUUA
rnacentral:lncRNA from 1 species